GACGGAGGAUGCAAGUGUUAUCCGGAAUCACUGGGCGUAAAGCGUCUGUAGGUGGUUUAAAAAGUCUACUGUUAAAGCUUGAAGCUUAACUUCAAAAAUGCCGUAGAAACUUUUAAACUUGAGUAUGGUAGGGGUAGAGGGAAUUUCCAGUGGAGCGGUGAAAUGCGUAGAUCUUGGAAAGACCACCAAUGGCGAAGGCACUCUACUGGGCCAUUACUGACACUAAGAGACGAAAGCUAGGGGGAGCAAAUGGG
rnacentral:rRNA from 1 species